GGCGAUGACGGGUAGCUGGUCUGAGAGGAUGGCCAGCCACACGGGCACUGAGACACGGGCCCGACUCCUACGGGAGGCAGCAGCAGGGAAUCUUCCGCAAUGGGGGCAACCCUGACGGAGCGACGCCGCGUGCGGGAGGAAGCCCUUCGGGGUGUAAACCGCUGUUCGGGGGGACGAUGGAGGGACGGUACCCCCGGAGCAAGUCCCGGCUAACUACGUGCCAGCAGCCGCGGUAAGACGUAGGGGGCGAGCGUUACCCGGAGUCACUGGGCGUAAAGGGCGUGUAGGCGGCUUGGCGCGCCGCGCGUGAAAGUCCCCGGCUCAACCGGGGAGGGUCGCGUGGGACGGCCGAGCUUGAGGGCGGGAGAGGCGGGUGGAAUUCCCGGUGUAGCGGUGAAAUGCGUAGAGAUCGGGAGGAACGCCGGUGGCGAAGGCGGCCCGCUGGCCCGUUCCUGACGCUGAGGCGCGAAAGCGUGGGGAGCAAACCGGAUUAGAUACCCGGGUAGUCCACGCACUAAACGAUGCGGGCGAGGUGUGGGUGGUGUUGACCCCAUCCGUGCCGGCGCCAACGCAGUAAGCCCGCCGCU
rnacentral:rRNA from 1 species